GGCCAAUGGAGAAGACUAGGACUAUGCAGAGAUGAUCCUUGAGGAACAGAACUAGGAGACGUUAUCACUGGAAGACUGGAACUGAUCAUCAAGUGGAUCAUCCAGAGAGAUGCUCUGAUUCAGAUCCAGAAACAGGUUGCUCAGUGCAGGAAAACCAUGAAAAAAGGAGAACCAAGCAGGCAACCAAGACUAGCCCCUCCUGAGAUGAGUAACACAGAGGUCCUGCAUCCACCAUCUUCUGAUGAUGAUGUCAAUCAUACUUGCCA